CCGCGCUCCCUCCCCGCCCUCCCCGCCGCCCGCCCGCGCUCACCUGGUUGUUUUUGCAGAGAUCAGCCCACAUGCUGGUGCCGUCCCCUCCGCGCAUCAGGACGUGCCACUUCUAAGAUGCUAAUGAUCCUGGGAGUUUUAGCCUUUUGUUGCCUGCUGCUGCGGUGUUUGAACCAUUCCAGUAAGCCAGCAACUUUGCAGGGACAAGGACAGAGCAUGCAAAGCAUGGAGGGAAAGUAGGAGUGUUUGUACCAUGAGUCUCUGCACACCCCUCAUCUUGGCUAUAGUAGACUGGACCACAGAUGGACACUGUACCAUGCAGAUUACUUCUUCCAGGAACUUGGAUUGAGACCAAGAGACUCAUGGCAUCCUCUUCUGGCUGCAAGACUUAUAUUUUUAUAUUUAGGCAAUAGAAGAGGGGCAGCAGAUGCCUACCUUGUGGAACAGAGGAAGGCAGGCAGUUCACAGAGAAAGAGGACUAGACAGUCGGACAGAGGGGAGCAGGCUUGGGAGCUUCGUGGAGCCAAUGUCCAUCUCUGUCCUUCCUUUCCACUCGAUGCUCCUGAGUCCCUGCCUUCAACCCCCGCUUGUUUGCUUAAACUGGUUUGAGUUUGUUUCUGCUGUUUGAAAAACAACAACAACAAAACCCCAAACAAAACAAACAUCAAACAAAAACCAAAACAAAACCAUUAACUCACUCAUCCCUGUGAUUGUAUUUUGAGAAAUAAAGGUGAUUUCCUUCAGAAAACAAAGCGUAAAAACCCUGCCCUCCUCCUCUACCUCUCCGAUCGCCUAUUAAAGCCCAUUUGCUCCACGGUAAUGUAGAAGCUGUUCCCACACAUCAGCUCAUGUACAGUGUUGGACAGCAUUUCUCUGCAAUUCUUUCCAAAUCAAAGAUAGUACACCUGUGCUCCCAAAUCUACCAGGAACACUCAAUGUUUUUAAAUCUAUCUCUUUCUAAAUUGCCUCAUAAAUUCUUGCUGUUCUCAGGAUCACCUUUCUCAACUGUACCAGCUGAAAUCAACUAAGGCGGUUACCCUAACAGUUCCAAGAUGCUCAGUCGGAAAUGCUGAACGAAGAUCUUUCUGUGAAGAAGGGCGUUCAGAGUGUGCGUGUGUGUGUGUGUGUGUGUGUGUGUGUGUGUGUGUGUGUGUGUUUACAGCAACACUGUUCAAGCGGAAAAUAGGGAGGAAAAACAUCCUUGUUCAUUAAAUUCAGAUUGCAGUGAAAGAACAAAAUUGUUGGACAGAUCUUCAAGGACUUCCACCUGUCUUCAUUAGUUUCUUAUUGAUAACCAGUGAGAAGGCAGUUGCUGUAGAUCAAGUCAGAUGGUGGCUUAGACCAGGAGGUCUUGGUGGAGACAGAGGGGGCCCAAUGAGAGCAAGAAUCAGAGACAGAAAAGGAAGAAACAGGUAAUAGAUGAAGGAAUCAAACCUAGCAAUGGUAAAUUCAGUGAGGAAAAUAAGAGCUGGGGCAUUGUCCUCUGGGAGGACUGACAGGUAAACUGGGACCUGGAGAAUCUGAGGAGAGAAAAAGAUUCCAGGAUGAGGGAACACUUGGCACUUGAUUUUUAACGAGACUGGCAGGCUCUAGAAACAGAAGGAAAGUCAGUAUGGUUGGUGCAGAGUGAAGUGAACGGGAGGAGGGGUCACAGAAGGAAGGGAGCAACUCCCCAAGGUCCCUGGAGGCUCUGGUCAUUGUAGCCAGGCAAAGGGCUCUUUUUUUCCAUUUUAAAAAAAGGAAAACAUAGGAUUUUUCCCUUUUAAAAAAUGGGCUGGGCACAGUGGCUCACGCCUCUAACCCCAGUACUUGGGGAGGCUGAGGCGGGCGGAUUGCCUGAGGUCAGGAGUUCCAGACAGCAUGGCC
rnacentral:lncRNA from 1 species